rnacentral:rRNA from 1 species
GAUGAACGCUGGCGGCGUGCCUAAUGCAUGCAAGUCGAGCGAACGGACGAGAAGCUUGCCUCUCUGAUGUUAGCGGCGGACGGGUGAGUAACACGUGGAUAACCUACCUAUAAGACUGGGAUAACUUCGGGAAACCGUAGCUAAUACCGGAUAAUAUUUUGAACCGCAUGGUUCAAAAGUGAAAGACGGUCUUGCUGUCACUUAUAGAUGGAUCCGCGCUGCAUUAGCUAGUUGGUAAGGUAACGGCUUACCAAGGCAACGAUGCAUAGCCGACCUGAGAGGGUGAUCGGCCACACUGGAACUGAGACACGGUCCAGACUCCUACGGGAGGCAGCAGUAGGGAAUCUUCCGCAAUGGGCGAAAGCCUGACGGAGCAACGCCGCGUGAGUGAUGAAGGUCUUCGGAUCGUAAAACUCUGUUAUUAGGGAAGAACAUAUGUGUAAGUAACUGUGCACAUCUUGACGGUACCUAAUCAGAAAGCCACGGCUAACUACGUG